AUUACCCGCUGAACUUAAGCAUAUCAAUAAGAGGAGGAAAAGAAACUAACAAGGAUUCCCCUAGUAACUGCGAGUGAAGCGGGAAAAGCUCAAAUUUAAAAUCUGGCGGUCUUUUGGCUGUCCGAGUUGUAAUCUAGAGAAGUGUCAUCCGCGCUGGACCGUGUACAAGUCUCCUGGAAUGGAGCAUCAUAGAGGGUGAGAAUCCCGUCUUUGACAUGGACUACCAGGGCUUUGUGAUGCGCUCUCAAAGAGUCGAGUUGUUUGGGAAUGCAGCUCAAAAUGGGUGGUAAAUUCCAUCUAAAGCUAAAUAUUGGCGAGAGACCGAUAGCGAACAAGUACCGUGAGGGAAAGAUGAAAAGAACUUUGGAAAGAGAGUUAAACAGUACGUGAAAUUGCUGAAAGGGAAACGCUUGAAGUCAGUCGCGUCAUCCAGGGAUCAACCUUGCUUUUGCUUGGUGCACUUUCUGGUUUGAUGGGUCAGCAUCAAUUUUGACCAUUGGAAAAAGGUCAAGGGAAUGUGGCAUCUUUGGAUGUGUUAUAGCCCUUGGUCACAUACAAUGGUUGGGAUUGAGGAACUCAGCAUGCCGCAAGGCCGGGUUUUAAACCACGUUCGUGCUUAGGAUGCUGGCAAUAUGGCUUUAAUCGACCCGUCUUGAAACACGGACCAAGGAGUCUAACAUGCCUGCGAGUGUUUGGGUGGAAAACCCGAGCGCGUAAUGAAAGUGAAAGGUUGAGAUCCCCGUCGUGGGGAGCAUCGACGCCCGGACCAGACCUUUUGUGACGGUUCCGCGGGUAGAGCAUGUAUGUUGGGACCCGAAAGAUGGUGAACUAUGCCUGAAUAGGGUGAAUCCAGAGGAAACUCUGGUGGAGGCUCGUAGCGAUUCUGACGUGCAAAUCGAUCGUCAAAUUUGGGUAUAGGGGCGAAAGACUAUCGAACAUCUGUAGCUGGUUCCUGCCGAAGUUUCCCUCAGAUAAUC
rnacentral:rRNA from 1 species